rnacentral:rRNA from 1 species
UACGUAGGGGGCUAGCGUUGUCCGGAAUCAUUGGGCGUAAAGCGCGUGUAGGCGGUUCGGUAAGUCCGCUGUGAAAGUCGGGGGCUCAACCCUCGAAUGCCGGUGGAUAUUGUCGGACUAGAGUACGGAAGAGGCGAGUGGAAUUCCUGGUGUAGCGGUGAAAUGCGCAGAUAUCAGGAGGAACACCAAUGGCGAAGGCAGCACUCUGGGACGUGACUGACGCUGAGACGCGAAAGCGUGGGGAGCAAACAGG